UCCCUUUUUCCAAACCUCUCGAGCGCCAUACCAGUUUGGAAGGAGACCGGAACCCUAAGGCUAGUGUCGAGAGGCGACAUUGCUGGCAUACGCUCUACGACGACAAGGGCCUCGACGUUGGGCUGAGGAGUUCGGCAAGGUUGCGCGCUGGGCGCCUGGGGUCUUCCCCUGCGUGUACGGAGACUCGAGAGGAGGACUUCAUCGCCAUACGUUGAAGACCGGACCGGACUGCCGCGGUGCGAGGACUGCUCGCCCCUGUGUCGGACCAUGGUAAAAAAACACCACUAUGUUCUUCCUCGCCUUUGCCCCUCUGGCAAUUGAGUAUGCGUGCAGCAAGUUUUAGCCCUCGAUGCACCUUGGUAGUUUUCCGGCAAGGCGCGCCGCUGGCUGGUUCACCGUCGUUAGGGGCCUGUUUGCGUGCGUAGAAGAAGAGCUGCUGGCCAUCGGAUGUGUGUUCUGUGGCCGGGAUUUGGAUUUGCCGCUCGUAUGGAUGGCCUCCACUCUUAAUCGUUGGAUCGAGGAUGGGUGAUCCAUAUCAAAUCCAGACCUGCGCUAUUAAGGAUCGUUGGAUCGAUAUCUGAUCGUAGGCGGGGGAUACCGGUUCAACAUAUAAUCCGAGCCCUAGAUCCUCGGAUGAAUGGCCUGGGCGCACCGUGAUUGCACAGCCUUGACACUUUUCAAAAAGAGCCCUUGCACAUUAAAGAAAAUAACGCACCAUCCCCGGGAGCCUAGGUUUCAAUUCAAUCAAACCCUUGUUUUUUACGGUUCGGCUCCCGAACUUCUGACAAUUUAGUGGUCGUUGUCUAGUGGGCUAGGGAAAUUGGUAAAGUUAAUUCGAAAUUAAUUAUUAAUGCCAAAAUACUUCUAAAAACCUUAGAAAAUGCAUAACUCAUUCAUUUUAACUCCUUUUUGAUCCAUUCCAGUUGCAUUAAAUUUAUAAUAAUAUUGUUUAUCAUCUGGUAACUUUAUUUUGUUAUGAAACAUAUUAAAAUUAUGCACUUAAUUUGUUUUAUAUCUAACACUUAAUCCUUCGGAAAAUCAUAACUUGUUAAUCGUAACUCCGAAUUUAGUGGUUCUCGAACCUGCGAUCUCGUUACGAUGCAUAUAAUAUUAUUAUGCAUUAUGUUCUGAUGUUUGGUGUGAUGUUAAUUUCUCCUAUACUAUGUUUGUUUGUAUUGUUGCGAGUAGACAAGCAAGCAACCGAGGAUCCUGGUACUCAGCAGGUGGAAAAUACUGAGCAGGAACUCGUUGAAGGCAAGUUGUGCCCUUGACCACUUUGAUUUACCCAAUAAUGUUCUAUAUAAUCACUUUGCCAUGCUUAGGCUUAAUUUUGAUGGGACCCAAUAGGUCACCCUAGUUUGGUCAUCUUUAUACCUUGUUUACCACUGAACUUCUUGGGUAGUUUCUGCUAUUGCUAUAUGUGGUUUUGAAUGUUAAGAUACCUAUUAUUCAUGAUCAUGCUUUAUUAUUGUUAUUUUAUUAUGUUCAUGAUAAGACUAUUGCGUUAAUUGGAACAUGGGGCUUAACUUGAGAUAAACGUGCCACCACAAGGGUGGAAUGGGACGCCUUUGGUUGACUAAUUAGAAAAGCUAUUGGAGGUAUACCUUACCCGAAAGGGGCAAGGGAGGUAGGGGAGUUGGGGGUAUAGGGAGGUUCUCGGGUUGAUCAUGCUGCAAUGGCUUUUCAGACGGGGGAUUCCUAUGCCACUCUCAGAAACCCGUAGCGGGUUUUCUGAAGCUAGUGGAACUUUGUAAAAGCCUCGUAGUGUUACCCUACCUCGUGUCCUCGGUAGAGAUGAAUGGGACUUCUAGACCCCUUGGCAACUAGGUAGCAUGACUUGUGGGUAAAGGGUACAACCUCUACAGAGUGUAAAACUGGUAUACUAGCCGUGCUCGCGGUCAUGAGCAGCUCAGGACUCUCGCAUGAUUAACUUAUGGAAUUAAACUCAAUCUAUCAUAUCCAUCGCAUUGUGGUUUUAUUAUUAAUUUUGAUCUAUUAUUACUCUAGUUUGAUAUAUACUUACAUUUAGUAACUGCUAAUAAAACUUGGCCAACUUAUUAAAAGCAAUGCUCAGCUUUAACCAUUAUUUGUUGAUCGGCCUUACACUUCACAUGGGCUCCCACCUUUGAUGAGUUUAUACACAUUAUUCCCCACAAAUUGUUGACCUAUGAUCUUUCGUGAGCUCACCAUUGCGAUAUAUAACCCCCACAGGUGAAGAGCAGGUAGCCCAGGAGGAGGACUACUACGAGGAGUACAAGGAAGUCUAGGUGGCGUCUCCUAGUCAGCUUAAUGGCGCCAAGGAAUAAUAUUAGAUCGCUUUAUUAUUUUCAUUUAUUUUUGUAAGACAAUUCUGCUAUGUAAUAAUGUUUGUGACAUUUAUCUCUAUACACUUGGUAAU
rnacentral:lncRNA from 1 species